UAUUCUAAUCUUCGAGUUACAGCUUUAUCACUAUCUGUUAUUGUCUGGUUGAUUUCUUAAUACUUAUUUUGCAUGUAUGAAUAUUUUGCCUGCAUGAAUGUAAGCUCUUCUCAUGUGUACCUGGUGUCACUGGAGGCCAGAAGAGGGCAUUGGAUCUCAUAGAACUGGAGUUACUGAUGGUUACAAACUACUAUUUGGGUUCUUGGAACCAAAUAUAGAGCUCCCAAGUACAUUAUCUUAUGAGCCAUUUCUCUACUCCUGUUUGGUUGACUUUUGAGGCAGAGUCUCCCUGAAUUGCCCAUGUUGACUUUGAACUCUCCAUCUCUCUUUCUCCUACUGAGCUGGCUGGCUCCAGGAAGCCUAGAUUAACUUUGUGCCUUUCUAUUUAGAAUUUGUUUUUAAAAUGACAGGACAUUUGUGUUGUUUACUAUUUCCACACUAUAGAGAAAAUAUCUAAUAUCCAAUGAUAGCUGAAUCAAACUUCCCUGGAUUUUUCAAAUAAUAGGUAGCAUAGACUGGUCAGGUAUCAUUAUGAUGUCAAAUUUCUUGUCUGAAUGGUACUUUAGAAAAAGCAUUGGUGGAACUCAGUUUGCAAUGUCUUUAUCCAACUUUGGAAACAGCUUCCCCAUCAUUAUGAGAAGAAGCAGAGAGAGGAUUGAAAUACAGAUUCAUGGACAUUAGUGGACAGAGGGCUGAGCUGUCUUGCCUUCUUGCCCUGGAGAUGGGUCUUUAGCGAUUCCACCUUUAUCUGCUCCUUCGGGAAACUGUGAUCUCAAUAGCAUAGCAGCACAUCUUGGAAGACAGGAGAGGGGCAUCCCCACCCCAUGUCAUGGAUGCAGAAACCAUGGACAUUCUGAACUCAUUCACCUCUCUACUUAGCUCAGCUUUGUCAAGAAACACAGAUGUGCUCCCUCACACCUGGCUUACGUGUUGCUAGAGGCGGACCCCAGAAUUUCAAGCAAGUCAGAUAAGUACCCUACCAACUGAGUCAUGUCUUCAUCCCACAAAUGGCUUUUACUUGAAAAAUCCACCUCACUGAGCAUAGUGAUGGCUGUUUACAGUCCUGGUACUUGGGGGUGGGGGGGCGGCAGUUGAAGAAGGAUGAUUGUGAGUACCAGAUCAAACUGGGAUAUUGCAAAACCUUAUUCCAAACCAAACCAAAACAAACCAAAACAAACACCUUAAAACCAAUCAUGUCUAGAACUUGACCAGAUGCAGAGCCUACAUUAUAGACUUUCAGAUAGGAGGUAAGUCCCUUAGACCUAGUCUUUCUAGUCUUUUCUCUAUCACCCCUUUACACACAGCUAAUUCCAUGAUUACAUCAUAUACUGUCAGGUCUGAAUUCGGGCCAUCAUGCAUGCCUUAAACAUCCUUCAACACAGAUCAGGGACAGAGGGCAAGAGAGCAGAAGAAAGGGCUCACACUCAGAGAGCACCACAGCAUAGAAAUGCCAAGAUGAAACCCAUUAAUUUGAACAAAUAAUGUGUCUUUAAAAAAUCACAAUACAAAGCCAAAACCAAAUCAAAGCCGGGAAGAAACAACCCAACUUUCUGUCUCUAUCAUAGUCAGGUGUAGUUCCUCUGGACUCUUACUUUCCACACUCUUUCUGGCUUUCUCCUUCUGGAACCCUUUUCAAGACACCCCUCAGACAGCAUAUCCUACAUUUCUCUAGUCAACUCUGCAUUCUCCAGUCGUGCUUCUCUCUGGUCUCUCUCUAUCCUAUAGCAUGGCCUCCCUCAGUUCUGUACUGCCUGGUCUAUGUGCCGUCAUGCUAGUUGCUGUUUCUGGUUUUCAGUUUCCCACCUCUGUAAGCCACAUUGUAUUCUCCCAUGGAGAACCGCUGGAAUCCCCCGAGGGAUGGAAACCAUGUUUGUCAUCAACUGCCAGGUAUCUAUAUUUGCAGUUCAAGGUCACUCUUUGCCAGGAGCAAGAUCAGAGGUAAAUCAUUCCAUUUACUGUUUGUCUUAAUGUUCCUUCUUGAUUUCUUAGAAAUAUUACUAGCGAUUCCUUAUUCAUAGUCUGAGCAGAAUGGAAAAAAAUAAAAUAAACUCAACAUUUUUAAUCUUUGUUGUUGUCAGCAGAAUUGCCUUUUUUUAAAAAGGUAUAAUAUGCUUAUAUUUUUUACACAUUUUUCACAUGGAUGUGGAUGUCAAUGGAGUUCAGAAGAGGGGAUCAGAUCUCUGGAGCUACCUGACUUGGAUGCUGGGAAUUGAACUCAGGUCCUGAAAGAACAGCAAACACUGUUAACUGCUGAGCUAUUUCUCCUGCCUGCAACUGCAUUUUUUAAGCUUCCUUAUUUAGUUUUGUGUUCAUUUGUUGGUUUACAGACUGGAUCUCACAUAGCCCAGGUUGAAUCUGAACUCACUCUGUAGUCAUGGAUGACCCUGAACUACUGUACCUCCUGUCUCUACUUCCCAAGUGCUGAGAUUAUAGACACACACCGUCACAUUUAGCUUAAACAAACACAUACACAAACAAAAAAGAAAACAAAUGAAACCAAAACAAAAGAACUACAUUCAUUCUGUUUUGGGGGGGUAGGGAGAAAAGGGUUUAUUUCAGCUUCCAUGUCCCAAUCAUAGGCCACCAUGAAAUGAAGUCAGGCACCUGGAGGUGGGAAGCAGAUCAUGGAGGAGCACUGCUUACCAGCGUGUCCUUCCUCAGCCUGUAUCACUUUCCCUCUCAUCCUUCAGACACUCCCAUGUACUCUGCCCUUUGUUCUCUUUCAAAUUCAUGGCCUCUUUUUCUUAAUUAUUGCUGUGCACAUGCGUGCCUGUGUGUGUGUGUGCGCGUGUGCUUUCCUAAAUAUAAAACAUGCCACCUGCUCAAUCUGUAUAGUUACUUGUAUGUAUGUUUAUAGGGCUGACCAUGUGGUAUUGAAUAACUCACAAGUGUACUAUUCCCUGGGGAAGACCAUUUCUCCUAAUCACCUGAAGUUCUUGGUCUAGGGCUGAAGCCUCUGAGCUUUCUUCCUCUUCUUUUUCUUUCUUUUAAAUUUAUUUAACUUUAUGUGCAUUGGUGUGAAGGUAUCAGAUCCACCAGAGUUUCAGAUAGUUGUGAGCUGCCAUGUGGGUGCCGGGAAUUGAACUUGGGUCCUCUGGACGAGCAGCCAGUGCUCAUAACCACUGAGCCAUCUCUCCAGCCCCAAACUUUCUUCUAUUGGUGUCACCCUUGCUCAGGUCAUGUUUAGGCAGCCAUGUUGGUAAGCAAAACUUUAUUCUUUACGGCACCAUGCUUCUAGGGUGUGCUAUUGAAUUUCUUUUGUUCUUGGCUACAUGUUCUCUCAGCUCCUAGGUAUGCUUUUAAAAGACUGAGCUCAAAGGAGAGUUCCCUAAGCAACCGUAUUGAUUUCUUUAGUUUUCCUUCCAUCUUUAAUAAUUUUUAUUGUAUCGUUAGAAUUUAAUUUUCUUCUCCUUCUGGGCCUCUCUGGAUUCUUUACAAAAGCAAAACAAAAACUCUCUGAACCUGGGACCAAACAUGUUUUCUUUGAACUUUCAAAAAUUUGUGUUUUUUUCCACACUGGGAUGCAUGGACAAUAAAGCUCAACACUUGUGUCCUCUUAUUUGAAUUUUAUGUCUCUCUUCCUUCUCCCAAGCUUAGCUCUUCUUUGUUCUACAGCUGUCCUCUCUUGAAUAUCAGAGUCAAGGUCACAAUAAAUGUGUCCAAGCUGGCAGGCUUCCUUUCCAUUUGUCCUAGUUGUCUGGUUUCGGGGAUCAUGGGGAAUCCCAAAUCCUAUAUGCUUAGCAAUGACCACACAGGGCUUUGCUCUGGUUGCACAGGAACUAGCCAGAGAUGCCAGGGGACCAAGUGACCUAAGGAGAGGUACUCACUCUCCUGACACUGGGCUGAAGGCUACAGGUCACUCUCAUCCCAGUGAUUGAUACCAGCAGCUUCUUGUGCCUGAAGGAUGGGAGACAUGCCUGAUGGAUUGGAGACAUGCCUGAAGGAUUGGAGACAUGCCUGAUGGACUGGAGGAGACAUAGGACCCAGACGGGAGAACUUGCCAACAAGGGAGAAGAAAACUCCUAUUUACCUCCCAAUCUCCGUUUUGAGUUCUGCUCUCUUAAGUGUUAGUGUCGUUGCAGGCUAGGAUGCCCUUUGCAAUACUCUUGGAAUGCGUGAGUAUGCCAGCCACUAAGCAUUUGCAGUUAGCCUCAGCUCCUGGCCAGUUAUUCAGUCAGUAGGAGGAGGAACUAACUAAAUACCAUACUCUACAGUAUCCUGUCAUCAAUAAGUUUCAUGGAGCAUUCAAUACUUUAAAAGAAGGUAUGUUAGGUAAUUUUGCACAACUGAAGGUUAAUCUAAGGUACUAGUGGCAGGGAGGUAAGCUGGGUUGAGCCAUGAUAGUAGAUGUGUCAUCAAUACAUUUUCAAUGUAUGGGAUUUUCAGUUUACAAUAGGUUACUGUAGGUCACGCAACGUCUGCACUUACAGUGUGAAGUGAGGUAAAACAAAACAGUCCAACAACAAUAAAACAAGGUUGUAACUUUGAACUUAAGGGAAUUAUCUAGACCUGAUUUCAUAUGAGACCUGCUCAUUAUGUACUCUGCCCCACAUUUGAGAAAGCAGGGAUUGGACACAGUGAAAUCAGGAAAUCUUUCUGUUCUAAUACUCUGGGGUGCAAAAAGAUCAAUAACUUGUUCAUACUUCUUCCUUAUAGAUCCCGAUUCUGUUUAGAUAUGAGAGAUCUACCACAGCCUGAGUACUUCAAGGGAGGCAGAUUCCUACAAGUCUGGCAGACUCUCCCUCCCAUCAAAUAUGGAUAACAAGCAUCAUGGUGAUGAGGACCAUUGUGACACUCCCGUGACUGAGGUGAAAUAAACCUUUUCCCUGAGCUAACGCUGACCCAGGAGUGAAAGAACUGAGACUUGUGUCAAUGUAUUGAGCUCAGCAUCCACUCUCUAUAAGCUUCCUGAUAUAUGAGCCAAUAAAUCUACGGCUUGAGCAA